rnacentral:rRNA from 1 species
GAUGAACGCUGGCGGCGUGCCUAAUACAUGCAAGUCGAGCGAACGGACGAGAAGCUUUCUUCUCUGAUGUUAGCGGCGGACGGGUGAGUAACACGUGGAUAACCUACCUAUAAGACUGGGAUAACUUCGGGAAACCGGAGCUAAUACCGGAUGAUAUUUUGAACCGCAUGGUUCAAAAGUGAAAGACGGUCUUGCUGUCACUUAUAGAUGGAUCCGCGCUGCAUUAGCUAGUUGGUAAGGUAACGGCUUACCAAGGCAACGAUGCAUAGCCGACCUGAGAGGGUGAUCAGCCACACUGGAACUGAGACACGGUCCAGACUCCUACGGGAGGCAGCAGUAGGGAAUCUUCCGCAAUGGGCGAAAGCCUGACGGAGCAACGCCGCGUGAGUGAUGAAGGUCUUCGGAUCGUAAAACGCUGUUAUUAGGGAAGAACAGAUGUGUAAGUAACUGUGCACAUCUUGACGGUACCUAAACAGAAAGCCACGGCUAACUACGUG